GUCACAUCUAAUUUUUCAUAACUCUUGUUUUCUGGAGUUUUUUGCCUAUUGAAGUUUUUUUGGACAUGUUUUUCUUAAUGUUUCGUCAGCGGAACGAUCCUAAAAAUAUAGGCAGUCUAAAACACUGUCUGAAUUUGUUCCAAGCGAAACGCACCUUCACUGCUCAUUUGCUUUAAACUGAAAGUUCUUUCAUCAUGUACCCACCUUCGUGCUGCUCGAUGUGACUUCUUUUCACGUCAGAAGCUGCUCUUUUCAAUACAACAAAAAUACAUGGUGAUCACUGGCUGUUAAGUUUAGUUGCAUUUUUGCUUGGUCUAUUAAGAAAAAAUGAUAUAUUUGGAUGGGAAACCAAAACAAACGGUCAGUCAGCUCCCUAGUUCUGUAGUCAGGGCACUGGUUAGGGAAUCGAAGUAUAGAUCUCUGCAGAAAAAUUAUGGGCAUUUCCCAAUCUGUGGCCUUUUUUAAACCGGGAUGGGCGUUUUUCAACAAUCCAAUGAAAGUAGGGAAUCUCAAUGUAGUAAUCAGUGGACGCUUCCAAACAAGGAUGGCCGUUUCUCAACUAUCCAAUGAAAGUAGGGAAUCUCAUUGUAGUAGGCAAAUCACUUAAAAUGGUUGGAAAACGCCCGUCCCGAUUUGAAAACGCCCACUGAUUGGGAAACGCCCAUUUUUGUUCUGUCUCAGGGAAUCGACCCUUUCUAGGGCUGUCCUAUUCACAAAUUCAGCCAAUGCCCGACUUUGUGUUCACGAUAUACUGACAUAUACAACAUAGGGAGGUAGGGAGCGAGAUGAGAUGCACCAUUCACACUGACAGCGAGUAAGCAUUCAUAAAUCAUGUGGCGGAUCACUGUGUGCCUUCCCAUUCACUGUAAAAAAUAAAAAGUUGGGAAAACGUUAAAAAAUGAAGGCAACCAGCUUAAGGAUUUUUUUGAGUUUUCUCAACUUAAGGGCAAAUUAGUUGUUUCAACUUAACAGUUUAAGUUUGUCUGUGCUUAUAUAACAGUGAUUUCUACAUGUUUAUCCAAAUUCAACAAGCUCACAUUUUUAAAUUUGUAGCGACAAAUUCUUUGUCAUGCAGCUUUUCAAUUCCACUAAAGUUCAUGUAUCAGCCCCACCAAAAUACUAUUUAGUUGGUCUGACUUAAAAAGCAGUGUAUGUAAUCACCACUUAAACUUCCACAAAGUUAAGACAACUGGAAAACUGAAGAAACUUCACCUGAGUGAACACUAAUCACCCUGAUGGUGACUUCAAAUAAAACAACUUUUUACAGCAAGACAUAAUUUAAACACUAAAACACACAAAAAAAGAAGCAUCUAUUAAUUCUGAACGGUAAUUAGUUUCAUGUACAUUUAUGUUGCCAUGCUUUGACCAAAGACACAUAAAUAAUUCAAGAGCAGGGAUUAUGGGCAUUGCCUCUGCACAAAUUGCUUCUCCAGUUGGCAUGCUCAAUGGCAGAUGCAACAAAAUGAAUCUUUUGACUCGUGAAUUUUCAGGACCUUACCAAGACUACUGGAGAAGAUUCUUAAGAAUCAAAGCAAAAUUUAAGUUACCUGAUAUUUUCUGAUUUUUUUAUGUCUGUGGGAACCCUGGCCUUAACUGACUACAGUAACAUGAAGUUUUCACUGCACAGACGUUCACAAAAAUUCUACAGAAAAUCCACUGAACAGACAAAUACAGUUAUUGUGCAUUAUGUUGUCAGCUAGUAAGAUCAAUACAAUACUUUUUUAGAAGUAAAUCUUAGUUCUGUAGGUUCAUAAAAUACAAGUGAAUGGUGGCAGCGUAAACCGAGUCCCCUAGUGGAUGCGCUUUCGAGGGUGACUGGAAGUAAGAAAUGUAUUAUUCUUGGGUGAACUAUGCUUUUAAAAGAUGUUUAUUUAUUUCUUUUUAAAUCUUAUCUCAUGUAGUGCACCAAGUAAGCUAAAAUAAGUAAAUGCAUGACUCUCAUUAUGCCUCCUGAUGUUAGUUUUUAUCUCUACUUUCAUCAGUCACGUGGUACUGGUCAGGAAUACGAACACACAGACUCUCUCUGUCUGAAACCUGACAUCACAAUCUUUUAGUCACAAGUGCUGGGAAUGAGUUUUUGCCAGGGACCUUUAAAAUGAAUGCUUGAUUAUAAUUUUCUUAACACUGUGUCCUAACCAGACAUCCCAGCUAACCAAAUGACAUGGCCAUUACGUAACUGCAACGUAAUUUGAUGACCAAACUUUCAUCGUGGCAACGUAACUGAUUAUGUCGUGACAACCUGGAAAAUUCUAUCUAUCUAUCGAUAGAUAGAUAGAUAAAUAGAUAGAUUCACAUUUAUAUUAUAUUAUGUAUACAUGUAUUUUAACAAAUAGCAUCAAACAUAUUUACAUACAUAAAGGCUUACUCUCAAAAAAAAGAUUUUUGGAGGCUGUUCACUUUAUUUAAACAAUUCAUUUUGAUUUAACACCAUUGUAUCAGGUUUCUUGUUCAAACACGAUUGCAUCAUGUUAAACUGACUUGAAAAUGUGACUCUUUGGUUUAACUCGAUGCGUUCAUUUCGAAAGAGCUUGUUCCAAUCAAGCUUGUUCAAAAAGGGCAACUGGCAGCAGGAAGUAAACAGUUGGGACACAGUCGGCAGCAGUCAUCAAGUGUUUCCAUUUGAAGAGAUAAAUUUGAAUUGGCAUUUAUUAUAUUGAGUUUGUUAACUAUUUUAAUGUUUUGAUGGGAGCACUGCAGGAUCAUUGGAGUUCACUUGACUUAUGAAUAAUACACUUUAUUUAAAUGGAUUUCCAUGACUCCUUAUAACUUGACCAGAUUGCCUUCUUUAAUAAGUACAAACAACAGUUAUUGUUGUUUUGUUUUUUUUAUUCUGUUGUUUGUCUUGCAUUGCCCUAUAUAGUCAAAAUGCAACGUAUAACACCAAUUAAAAAGGAUUUGGCCUGGAUGAACAAAAUUAACUUAAUGUGUAUUGAAAGAAUCAAUUAACAUUUUUAUGUGAUGUGCAAAGCAAAGCAAGUACAUUAAAAACGUUAAAAUAUUGAGUUGGAACAGACACCUUUAUUGACGUGCAUAUUCAUUUGGACAUAAUAUCUACUUAUUUAUUGCACCAUACGUGAAAAAAUCGGUUUGCAUGUAUUUAAGGUUUACAUGCAUGUAGCUUCUAAUUAGAGGAGUUUUCUUUUGGAGAAGGAAUAUACUUCUGUUCAAACACAUGCUUAUGAUUUGGAUGCUGUGAGCGCGCACUUUUCCUCCAUCAAGAUGUUCGCUGCUGUCCGAGUGGAUUCAAAAGUAAGUAAUCUCAAAUUCAGUCAUAACUUCUGUUAUUAUUUUUGUAAUACGGGAACUACACAAAGAUUAAAUUUAGAUGAAUUUACAUAAAUAUCCCUAACAGUACUUAAUGUUGGAAGGAGGCAUAGAGCAAGUUGCUGGUUUAGGUAACUAAUGUAACCUCUUAGUUUAACUUCAGUUUAAUUAUGAUAUUUGAGGAUAUGUAGAAUACAAAACGAACAGCACCAGUUACCUAAAGAGCGUUUUGUUCGUCUACAGGAUAGUAUUUUAAAUGAUGCAGCACGUGCUUAACUAAAGCAGCUCCUCAGUGGAUCGACAGAGAAUAUUGAGGGCUCAAAGGACUUGUUUGGACUAGUUUCCCGCCCUAAUUUGAACAAGGUGGAUGUAUUUUGUUGUUCGCAUGUUACAAGUUUCCGAGGUGUUUGCUGAGUAGCACUUUACAAAUCAGAAUCUACCAAACACACAUAUGCAGAACUUGAUCAGCACAGUCUUCACUGAUGUCUUUAUAUCUCGUCAGAAAGCACUGGAGUCGGAAAAUACUUCUGAUGAACUUGCUGAGAUUCUCUUGACUCGUUACUUAAAGGGCUGAAGAUUCAGAAGAGACAAAUGUUGAAUAUUCACCAGUUGCCCUGUUAACAGCGGUCAGAGAACUCACUGAUGCUGCAAUUCACUACAAUCUGGUCAGAAAUUUCAUUGUUCUUGAAAGUGAACCCAUCACCCACCUGCCCAGGCUUUUCAGGUUUCUUUUUACAUUUGGACUGAUUUAUGCAUUAGAUCUGAGUUACCCAAAAGAGUAGGCUUUAUAAGGUUUAAACGUUGAAGGAUGUGCAACACUAAUGGAGCUGUAGACAAUUUAUCCUGUCGCUGUCAAAUGUGGGUUUUUUUGUGCAUCAUGUUUUGUCAAUAAUUGUACCUUGUCUUUUUAUA